UUUCAUGGUAGAGGUUGUAUUGGUAUUAGCGCUUACAAUAGUAGCUGUGACGAUAAUACAAUUUGCGCAGUAAAUGGGCAAUGGUCAUUUUGGUCGUCUUGGUCAGCAUGCAGUCAACCAUGUAAUGGGGGUGUUAAAUCAAAAUUCCGCAGUUGUUCUAAUCCAACUCCUAAGUAUGGUGGUCUAAAUUGUAAUGGAAAAAGUAAAAAAUUUUAUAAAUGCAACUUGCAAAAAUGCCAAAGUAAAAAUGUUAACUUGGCUAUCAAUUUUUUGGAUGAAGAUU
rnacentral:lncRNA from 1 species